UACGAAGGGGGCUAGCGUUGCUCGGAAUCACUGGGCGUAAAGCGCACGUAGGCGGCUUGUUAAGUCAGGGGUGAAAUCCUGGAGCUCAACUCCAGAACUGCCUUUGAUACUGGCGAGCUUGAGUUCGGGAGAGGUGAGUGGAACUGCGAGUGUAGAGGUGAAAUUCGUAGAUAUUCGGAAGAACACCAGUGGCGAAGGCGGCUCACUGGACCGGCAUUGACGCUGAUGUGCGAAAGCGUGGGGAGCAAACAGG
rnacentral:rRNA from 1 species